GUUCAUUGCUGGACCCGGCACCGAACCAGGCCCACCGCCCUGAGGCUCUGAGUUCCUGAGCUCCAGCUCCGGACACAGACAGGCAUGGGUGGCCUCUCCAGCUGUGGGGCUGGAGGUCCAUCCAC